rnacentral:misc_RNA from 1 species
CGAUGCCGAGGGUGCACCGGCA